CGCAGCUGAGGCAGGUAGAUUUCCCAGAGCCCGAGAUCCUGAUGGUUAGGAAUGUAACCGUUGGAAAGAGCUCAUAGAUCCCAUGCAUUCAUACUUGAAUUAUUUAAACUCUGAGUAAAGGGCCUGGGGCCGGAGAGGAAUGGGGAAGGUAGGAAGAGGAGCAGGCAAGAGGAGGAGGUGGGGAAACGCAAAAAAAGAAGAAUGAAGAAAAGGAAAAGGAACCCAUUCUUUUUCAUCUCUGCGUCCAAAAUGGAAAGGUCUAGUGAGUUUCAAAAGACAAACAUCCCAAGAGAUUCAGCUGAGAGUUCUAACUGCUAUUUGUUAGGGAAUCCAGAAUGGUGCACCUCCUCACUCUGUAACCCUGAAUUGAAAAGAGGGAGUCAGCUUUAUGAGCAGAAAAGGACUGAAGAAAAGAAAAGCAGAACUAAGACAGAAAGCAGCGUGACUGUCUGAAGGUAAUUUUCCUUAAAGGGCAACACAGAAAAGACGUCUCUGCUCGGCCAGGUCAGGCAAGCUGGACCCAUUCCAAUAGGUCGCUGUGAAUUAUGGGUUUGGUUUUUCACUCUUACCUAAAGUGGCCCGUUUUAAAGUUCCUAUUGAUUAAUGGCACCUAGCAGAAGAAAUUCCAUACUGGUUUGGUCUGUCUGCAGGGUAUCUUCAGAGGGAGCUCGGCCCAAAACAGUAACUUCCCACGAACUUAUUAAACCUAAGCAGACUGUAGCUCUCUGAUCGCAUCUCCCCAAGAGCUCCCUUGACCACAUGGAUUUCUCCCUAACAGAAGCCAUAACUGAAUGUCUUACUUCCUUGUUCGUAAUAAUGCCUCAAUGCCUUUUGUUAAAAUAAUUCACAUUCCCAAAAAACUCCAAUAAAUCUGAAUAAGCAGAUAGCUGAUGCCUCCACUCCCCAGAGGCUUCUAGUAAGUUUCCCCCACCUCACUCUGUCUUCUAGAGGCUCAACAACUCAGCACCCUCAGGCACAAAAAGGGGUCUGUUUGGGGAGUAUCUCAUUUCAGAUACUCUUCCAGUUUAAAAAAUCUAUAUUAUUUUAAAUUACAGUGAUUCUUAACUUGUAGUUUUCUGCAGUCAGUUUUCCUAGUUGUCGGCAGGACACUGGCCUUUCCCAGAAGUGCUAGAGCAUCUCAUGACCCUACUGUUCUGGGGAAGGGGAUGAGGAAUGGUCACAGAUGACAACAGAUAAAUACACAAGAUUCCAGUCCUAAUAGAGUAGUCAGGGGAGAGAAAACGGACGGCAGCUGGGAGUGGUAUCUGGAGUGAGCCAAUCUUGUUGCUCCCCGAGUGCGUCUCCGCAGUGAGUAACUUAACGCAGAGGCUUAUAACUGGCCUAAGUGCUGAGAAUAAGGAACUCCUGAGUGGUACACCUGCAGAGGCCUUUUUUUUUUUAUCAACCCCUUCCUGUGAGAGCUGGAGGGUGGGGAAGAAUGUUGUGAAAUGUUGUCUUCAGACCACCAUGGCCGUUGCAGUAGUGAGCGCACUGUAGUUUUGGCUACCUGCUCGUAAUCAAGACAAGAUCGGCCAGCAUUCCAAUAGGCAGCACCAGCUGGAUUCAGUGUGUGGGAGAGAAAGAAAGAGAGAGAGAGAGAGAGAGAGAGAGAGAGAGAGAGAGAGAGAGAAUGAAGGUGAGAAAGGGGUGUGCUGGUGGAUUACAUGGGCAGAAUGGGGAUAGAUAGGCUCAAGAUGUGUGUGUGUGCGUGUGUAUGUGUGUGUGUGUGUGUGUGUGUGUGUGUGUGUGCGCGUGUUUGCAUGUGUUGUCAAAGUUUUAAAAAGAAUGUGCUUGGCUAUUAAGAACAUGGCUCCCAUGCAUUCACCUGGGGCUUCGGUAUCAAUAGACUCUGUGGAUCAAGUCCUAAAGCCUCAAACAGCAAGUGCCAAGAAAUCGAGAAGAGGGAACUAAAGAUUAAAGCAUUAACAAUGUCCUGUUUCCUAAGUAGGGCUGCAAAGACAAGGGACACGAGAGCACCCAGAAAAGUCCGUGCAUGGAUUCCAAAGAAAAUACUACAAGAGCAUUCGAGGAUCAGGUGCCACCACAGUGCUUUUCAAAGAAAUCAAAUUCUUCUUUAUUCAUGUUAGGCUUUCAUAAUAAGAAGCUGUUUGUGACUACUAUGUGUUGGAUACGGCUGAACUGACUAUUGAGAAACUCGCAUCUCUAAAAGUAGCACAGGUCUAGCGGACUGGAUUAGCAUCUGGCCUCUCUCCACUGCACUGAGUGGGAAUGCUUCCUUUCUAAACUCUAAGCUGCUGGGGAAGAGCUCUGCUCACAGAAUGCUACAACUGAACUGGGAGAGACAGGACCUUUGUUAGAGCUGGUUUUGAAGAGGACAUACCUCGUAUCAGAUGACCCUUCUAACUCACCUGUGAAAAUGCUCAAUGCUCUCAAACUAAAGAAAGUGUGUUGGCUAGUUUUACGUCAACUUGACGCAAGCUACAGCCAUCUGAAGAGAGAGCCUCGGUUGAGAAAAUGCCUCUCCAUAAGAUCGGACUGUAGGCAAGCCUUUGGGGCAUUUUCUUAAUCCGUGAUGGAUGUGAGAGGGCCCAACCCCUGAGCUGGUGGUCCUGGAUGCUAUAAGCAGGCUAACCAAGCCCCGAGGAGCAAGCCAAUAAGCAGCAGCCCUCCAUGGGCACCGACAGCACCACCUCCUGCCUCCAGGCUCCUACCCUGCUUGAGUUCCUGUACCCACACCCUCUGAUGAUUAAGAUGAUGAAGUGAAAGCGAAAUCAGCUCUUGCCUCCUCCCUAAGUUGCUUUGGCCACAGUGUUUCAUCAGAGCAACAGGAACCCUAACUAAAACAGGAUGUAAGCUCCCUCUCUCAGGAUGCUUCAGUUCAGAAGGAAUUUAUGCAGGAGCAGGACCUAAACAACUCCUCACCAGGACAGUGGAGUGGUUAGAGAAUCUGCAAAGAACCUAAGAGAUCAGGAAGGAAAAAAAUCAAAACUCACGAAACAUAAUUAGUGUCUUGCCAGUCGCCACUGCUUUAUUGCACUCUGUUCACUAAAAAGCAUUUGCCCCA